rnacentral:rRNA from 1 species
AGAUUGAACGCCGGCGGCAGGCCUAACACAUGCAAGUCGAGCGGUAGAGAGGUGCUUGCACCUCUUGAGAGCGGCGGACGGGUGAGUAAAGCCUAGGAAUCUGCCUGGUAGCGGGGGAUAACGCUCGGAAACGGACGCUAAUACCGCAUACGUCCUACGGGAGAAAGCAGGGGACCUUCGGGCCUUGCGCUAUCAGAUGAGCCUAGGUCGGAUUAGCUAGUUGGUGAGGUAAUGGCUCACCAAGGCGACGAUCCGUAACUGGUCUGAGAGGAUGAUCAGUCACACUGGAACUGAGACACGGUCCAGACUCCUAGGGAGCAGCAGGUGGGAAUAUUGGACAAGU